GAGUGGUCAAGCAAACCACCAACCUGUGAACUUGUUCAAUGUCCAGAGCUGACCAAACCACAGGAAGGCAUAAUGCACUGCCAAAAUCCCAUGGGCCGGUUCAGCUACCAAUCCACCUGUGAGUUUAUGUGUGAAGAAGGAUACACGCUGCGAGACUCCAGCUCUUCAACACUGUUCUGUGGGGCAACUGGACGCUGGAAUGAUUCACAACCCACUUGUGAAAUUAUAAAAUGCAAACCGGAGGACGGCACCCCACCAGAUCAUGCUAUUAUCCAGUGCUCUCAUCCUCAUGAAGACUUCUC